GUGCUCACUUCAUCAGCACAUACACUAAACUGGCAACGAUGUGGAGACUAGUUUGGACCCAAUGCAAGGGUGAUAUGCAAAUUCAUGAAAUGUUCUUUCUUUAG
rnacentral:snRNA from 1 species